rnacentral:lncRNA from 1 species
CCCGAGCCAUCCUUGCAAGAACGGGAAAAUGCUUUUCCCUUGACUUCCACCAUUCCAAAAGGUCGAAAGAGCCGUCUGGAUUCUCCUUUUCUAGUCCGUGUGACAAGUAAACUUGAAGCUCAUUUAGAUGGAAAAUUUCAUCAAAUUUAUCACCUUGAGAACACCUGAACUCCGUCCACGAUUUAAGAAAUGUUAAGCCAGCAGCUCUUUUAGACGAUUGUGAUGUAGACGAAGUCGGGGUUAGAAUAUUUGACCUAGUAUGCUCUAACGCCUGUUUAUAAGCAUUAUAAACAGUUUGAGCAUUAAUUUUAAUUGAUGCUUUUUGGCCUAGCAUGCUCUAACGCCUGUUUAUAAGCAUUAUAAACAGUUUGAGCAUUAACUUUAAUUGAUACUUUCGCAUCAGCUAGUGUAACAAUUUCGUCUUCUGAAAGAUCUAAAGCUCUAUAAAUAUUAGAAUACCAAAAGUGAGAACCUCCUAAUUUCAUUGUUGGAGUUAACAUAGCAGCUACACCAAAAAUAGGAGGGAUUGGAAAAAAAUUAUAUUUAUUAAAUUUUUAUUCCAAGCGGCUACUUUUUGCAAAGAGCCGUUACUGAAUUUUUUAAAAAAAAAAAAAUUUUUGUUUAAAAACAUAGCCGUUGGAACCGCCAAAACCGGUCCGGACCGCCAGAACCGAUCCAGGCCCGCCAGUAGGUCCCGGGUCUGGCGGUUCUGGUCCUAACGGUUCGGGAGAGGGAACCAUCCCGUCACGGGUAUUUAGAACCGGUAGAACCGGAACCGUCAGAACCGGCCCAGCAGAACCGAUAGAACCGCCAGGGACGCGGUCCCGAUCUGAUUCCGGUUUGGAACCGGGACACAAAACAGCAUUAACCCAACUAACAACAAUUAUGGCACAUGAAAGUGUAGAUAAAUGUCAAAUUUUGCAACAGAAGUCUUCAGCAAAUUCAUCUCAACAAACCCAAUUGGAAUAAUAAUCACUUCAAUAGCAAAACAAAAGAAAGAAAGAAACGAGAAAGUUGAUAAAUGCUAAAAAAAUAUUAUUUCUUUCCCUUGAACUAGAUCCGAAAAGCAAACAAAAGAUUAAAGGAUUAGAAUUCAACAAAUUCGUCCUUGAUUACUUUAAGAAGACAGCGAAUUGGACACACGAGAUGAAAUUUCAGUUUUUCCAAUCACACAUAUAGUAGGCAUGAUAAAUUAAAUUUAAAAAGAGCUAAGCAUCACGUUACAUGUAUAUAUUACAGAGAAAAAACAACAAUCACAAAAAAAAAACCACCAUUUAUCUCAUUAAUCUAGGCAUUCUAAUGAAAGAAGUGAGUUACAAGUUGAUAAUUGUGUACCUAAUUCUGCAAAGGUGAAAACAGGACUGCAACAAGCCUAAUAAAGGCUGAGAAAAGCAUAGCCAUAGGUUGAGCUCAGCUACUAGAUGAACCACACAGCAACAAACAGUGAUAUCCAGCAAACCCCAUAUCUUGAUUUUGUCGCUGGGUUUUUUAUAACAAUUUGUGGCCAUUUGUUUUCCGGACGUUCAAGGCAGAAAAUAAGCUGUCAUGGCUUCUUUGUUUCGAGUCCCUAAGAAACAACGAAGUUUUUAUUUUUUAUUUUUGGUUCUUUCAUUAAGAAGAUGUUGAAGCUGGGCUGGGGAAGGUUGAAGUAGAUGGAAUUUUUUGGGGGUCCAAUUCUAUUGGUCGAAAAUGGCUGAUCGAAAAUGAAGUAUGACGGAGGGUCCUUUUUUCGUGAAAAGCUACGCUCCUUUUUG